GAGUUGGAGUGUGUGCCUGUUGAACCCACACUUCUCUCCCUUCUCCCCCAGUUCCUCUUCUCACGUUCUCAUUCUGCUCUCAGUCAAACUCCCUCACUUCUCUCUCAUUUGUUUCUCCCUCUGUCCCUUAUCCUUCUCUUCUCUCUCUUGGCUCGCUUCUCCCCGAGCAACACAUCCACCACGUUUCGAACACCAAAUCACCACCAUCCUCGUCCCAACCUCACACCAAACACAAAACAAGAACCCAUAGUCCCAAACCCUAGACUCGAACCGCAAAUCGGAGAACCAGAACUUCGUCUUAAAUCCUAGAGAGUUCCGGCGAGUUCAUCAUUUUCCCUACUAAGGUUUCUUGAGAUUUUCCAACCAAAUCUCGUCGUCUUGGACGAGAUUGUCACCACAAACGCACUCUUCAUAGUCCCAGGGACCAGAUUCGAGCUUUACAUGCUCAAAUAUGUCAGGGAUUCAUAGGGACCUAAAUUGGCCUUUUAGGCCAAUUUCCUGCCAUCCUUUGGCCUCGAUUUUGGUAAAAUCAAACUCCUGCUAAUCCCAGCUUCAUUUUGACAUAAUGUGUGUUACAAACGGUUGAGAUUUAAUGCUGAUCUGCUUCUGUUUCGAAUCCAAAUAGGUAUUGAUUUUAAUUUUUGUUUUCGUUUGUGUGUAAUUUGAGAUGGAAUGUGGAAGUGGUUUGAAAUUCUGGUGUAAUUUGAGAUGCUUGUGGAAUGUGGGCUAUUUUGAUUUUAUGAAAAAAAAUUAUUUUUUUGUUUA